CGGGACACGUGGUAUCCUGUCUGAAUAUGGGGGGACCAUCCUCCAAGGCUAAAUACUCCUGACUGACCGAUAGUGAACCAGUACCGUGAGGGAAAGGCGAAAAGAACCCCGGCGAGGGGAGUGAAAAAGAACCUGAAACCGUGUACGUACAAGCAGUGGGAGCACGCUUAGGCGUGUGACUGCGUACCUUUUGUAUAAUGGGUCAGCGACUUAUAUUCUGUAGCAAGGUUAACCGAAUAGGGGAGCCGAAGGGAAACCGAGUCUUAACUGGGCGUUAAGUUGCAGGGUAUAGACCCGAAACCCGGUGAUCUAGCCAUGGGCAGGUUGAAGGUUGGGUAACACUAACUGGAGGACCGAACCGACUAAUGUUGAAAAAUUAGCGGAUGACUUGUGGCUGGGGGUGAAAGGCCAAUCAAACCGGGAGAUAGCUGGUUCUCCCCGAAAGCUAUUUAGGUAGCGCCUCGUGAAUUCAUCUCCGGGGGUAGAGCACUGUUUCGGCAAGGGGGUCAUCCCGACUUACCAACCCGAUGCAAACUGCGAAUACCGGAGAAUGUUAUCACGGGAGACACACGGCGGGUGCUAACGUCCGUCGUGAAGAGGGAAACAACCCAGACCGCCAGCUAAGGUCCCAAAGUCAUGGUUAAGUGGGAAACGAUGUGGGAAGGCCCAGACAGCCAGGAUGUUGGCUUAGAAGCAGCCAUCAUUUAAAGAAAGCGUAAUAGCUCACUGGUCGAGUCGGCCUGCGCGGAAGAUGUAACGGGGCUAAACCAUGCACCGAAGCUGCGGCAGCGACGCUUAUGCGUUGUUGGGUAGGGGAGCGUUCUGUAAGCCUGCGAAGGUGUGCUGUGAGGCAUGCUGGAGGUAUCAGAAGUGCGAAUGCUGACAUAAGUAACGAUAAAGCGGGUGAAAAGCCCGCUCGCCGGAAGACCAAGGGUUCCUGUCCAACGUUAAUCGGGGCAGGGUGAGUCGACCCCUAAGGCGAGGCCGAAAGGCGUAGUCGAUGGGAAACAGGUUAAUAUUCCUGUACUUGGUGUUACUGCGAAGGGGGGACGGAGAAGGCUAUGUUGGCCGGGCGACGGUUGUCCCGGUUUAAGCGUGUAGGCUGGUUUUCCAGGCAAAUCCGGAAAAUCAAGGCUGAGGCGUGAUGACGAGGCACUACGGUGCUGAAGCAACAAAUGCCCUGCUUCCAGGAAAAGCCUCUAAGCAUCAGGUAACAUCAAAUCGUACCCCAAACCGACACAGGUGGUCAGGUAGAGAAUACCAAGGCGCUUGAGAGAACUCGGGUGAAGGAACUAGGCAAAAUGGUGCCGUAACUUCGGGAGAAGGCACGCUGAUAUGUAGGUGAAGUGAUUUACUCAUGGAGCUGAAAUCAGUCGAAGAUACCAGCUGGCUGCAACUGUUUAUUAAAAACACAGCACUGUGCAAACACGAAAGUGGACGUAUACGGUGUGACGCCUGCCCGGUGC
rnacentral:rRNA from 1 species